rnacentral:rRNA from 1 species
CGCAUGAGAGAAGUUCGAAAAGUCGGAGCAAUCUGACACUAUAAGAUGGCUUUGUGGUGCAUUAGCUAGUUGGUAGGGUAAAAAGCCUACCAAGGCGACGAUGCAUAGCCCGACCCUGAGAGGGUGAUCGGCCACAUUGGGACUGAGACACGGCCCAGACUCCUACGGGAGGCAGCAGUAGGGAAUCUUCCGCAAUGGACGCAAGUCUGACGGAGCAACGCCGCGUGAGUGAAGAAGGAUUUCGGUUCGUAAAACUCUGUUGUUAGGGAAGAAAAAAUGUAUAGUAACUAUAUACAAAAGAGACGGUACCUAACCAGAAAGCCACGGCUAACUACGUGCCAGCAGCGCGGUAAU